rnacentral:rRNA from 1 species
GAUUCCCCUAGUAAUGGCGAAUGAAGCGGGAACAGCUCAAAUUUGAAAUCUCCGUCGCCUGCGACGGCGAAUUGUAGUUUCGAGAAGCACUUUCUAGGCGGACCCGGGGCCGUCCAAGUUGCUUGGAACAGCACGUCAUAGAGGGUGACAACCCCGUCUGUGGCGGAACCGGCCGCUGACGAUGCGCUUUCGACGAGUCGGGUUGUUUGGGAAUGCAGCCCAAAAUGGGUGGUAAACUCCAUCUAAAGCUAAAUACUGGCACGAGACCGAUAGCGAACAAGUACCGUGAGGGAAAGAUGAAAAGCACUUUGAAAAGAGAGUUAAAAAGUACGUGAAACCGUUAAAAGGGAAACGAAUGGGGUUAGCAAUGCGCUCCGCGAGAUUCAGCCGGGGGCUGGACCGGCCGGGCGGUCUGCGGAUCUGAAUGGACCGCGGCCGUCCGGGUCGGCCCUUCGACCGUCGCACUUCUCGCGAGCGCGCGUCAGCGUCGGUUGGGACUGGGUCUCAAAGGCGCCGUGGAAGGUAGGUCCCUGCCCUCGGGCAGGGACUGUUAUAGCCCGGCGUUUUCAUGGCCCGGACCUGACCGUGGAGCCGCGCGGCGCGUGCCUCUUCUGGCUGGGGUCCCGUCGUUCCGGUCGGUCGUCGACUGCGGUGGACUGCGUGCAGUGCGCCGCGACUGCUGCCGGUCGCUUCGGCGGUGACCUCACACACAACGCGCCCAGGACGCUGGCGGUCAUAUGGCCUCAUCCGACCCGUCUUGAAACACGGACCAAGGAGUCUAACAUGUGCGCGAGUCUUCGAGUGAUCGAAACUCCCAGGCGGAAUGAAAGUGAAGGCGGCCUCGGCCGCUGAGGUGAGAACCCCUCGCGUUCGCCGCGGGGGGCGCAUCAUCGACCGACCUAUUCUACUCUUAGGAAGGUUUGAGUAAGAGCGCACCUGUUGGGACCCGAA